UCACUAGUAGAUGGACCUGCGUUGUAUUAGCUAGUUGGUGAGGUAACGGCUCACCAAGGCNACGAUACAUAGCCGACCUGAGAGGGUGAUCGGCCACACUGGGACUGAGACACGGCCCAGACUCCUACGGGAGGCAGCAGUAGGGAAUCUUCGGCAAUGGGGGCAACCCUGACCGAGCAACGCCGCGUGAGUGAAGAAGGUUUUCGGAUCGUAAANCUCUGUGU
rnacentral:rRNA from 1 species